AACGAACGCUGGCGGCAUGCCUAACACAUGCAAGUCGAACGAGACCUUCGGGUCUAGUGGCGCACGGGUGCGUAACGCGUGGGAACCUGCCCUUAGGUUCGGAAUAACUCCCCGAAAGGGGUGCUAAUACCGGAUAAUGUCUUCGGACCAAAGAUUUAUCGCCUUUGGAUGGGCCCGCGUUGGAUUAGCUAGUUGGUAGGGUAAAAGCCUACCAAGGCGACGAUCCAUAGCUGGUCUGAGAGGAUGAUCAGCCACACUGGGACUGAGACACGGCCCAGACUCCUACGGGAAGCAGCAGUCGGGAAUAGUGGACAAUGGGAGAGAGCCUGAUACAGCAAUGCCGCGUGAGUGAUGAAGGCCUUAGGGUUGUAAAGCUCUUUUAGCCGGGAUGAUAAUGACAGUACCGGGAGAAUAAGCUCCGGCUAACUCCGUG
rnacentral:rRNA from 1 species